AGAGAAAAGUACGGUGUAUUUUAUCUGGUGCUGUUGAAGAUAUCACAGAUCCCACUAUUAGUUCAUCACAAGCAAAUGGAACUGAAGUGCCAGCGCUUGAGGACAUUCAAGGUGCUGAAGGAGUGUGCUCUUAGAAAACAACAAAGAAGAUUCUGGUGAGAGUGAUGGUAUAUUGAUCUUGAUACUGAUGAUUGUUCUGAUACGGCAUCCAUCAGCAGUGGGGCAUCUACUGGAUCUCUAGGUA